rnacentral:rRNA from 1 species
UGAACGCUGGCGGCGUGCUUAACACAUGCAAGUCGAGCGGAGCACAUCGUUGGAAUCCUUCGGGAGGAAGAGGAUGUGGCUUAGCGGCGGACGGGUGAGUAACGCGUGGACAACCUGCCCUAUGCAGGGGGAUAACAUCCGGAAACGGGUGCUAAUACCGCAUAAGCGCACAGUACCGCAUGGUACAGUGUGAAAAGCUGAGGCGGCAUAGGAUGGGUCCGCGUUGGAUUAGGCAGUUGGCGGGGUAACGGCCCACCAAACCGACGAUCCAUAGCCGGCCUGAGAGGGUGGACGGCCACAUUGGGACUGAGACACGGCCCAGACUCCCACGGGAGGCAGCAGUGGGGAAUAUUGCACAAUGGGGGGAACCCUGAUGCAGCGACGCCGCGUGGGUGAGGAAGUACUUCGGUAUGUAAAGCCCUAUCAGCAGGGAAGAAAAUGACGGUACCUGACUAAGAAGCCCCGGCUAACUACGUGCCAGCAGCCGCGGUAAUACGUAGGGGGCA